GAAAUGCGAUAAGUAGUGUGAAUUGCAGAAUUCAGUGAAUCAUCGAAUCUUUGAACGCACAUUGCGCCCCUUGGUAUUCCAUGGGGCAUGCCUGUUCGAGCGUCAUUUGUACCCUCAAGCUCUGCUUGGUGUUGGGUGUUUGUCCCCGUCUCCGCGCGUGGACUCGCCCCAAAGUGAUUGGCAGCCGGCGUACUGGUCCCGGAGCGCAGCACAUGUCGCGCAAACGAGUGCCUUGGUACGGCGGCGUCCAUAAGCCCCUCUCUCACGCUCUUGACCUCGGAUCAGGUAGGAAUACCCGCUGAACUUAAGC
rnacentral:misc_RNA from 1 species